AACGAACGCUGGCGGCAGGCCUAACACAUGCAAGUCGAACGCCCGUAGCAAUACGGGAGUGGCAGACGGGUGAGUAACGCGUGGGAACGUGCCCUUCGGUUCGGAAUAACUCAGGGAAACUUGAGCUAAUACCGGAUACGUCCGUAAGGAGAAGAUUUAUCGCCGAAGGAUCGGCCCGCGUCGGAUUAGCUAGUUGGUGAGGUAACGGCCCACCAAGGCGACGAUCCGUAGCUGGUCUGAGAGGANGAUCAGCCACACUGGGACUGAGACACGGCCCAGACUCCUACGGGAGGCAGCAGUGGGGGAAUAUUGGACAAUGGGCGAAAGCCUGAUCCAGCCAUGCCGCGUGAGUGAAGAAGGCCUUAGGGUUUGUAAAGCUC
rnacentral:rRNA from 1 species